ACUUAGGGUUUGCCAGGAAAAGAAGGAUUAGUUGGACAAACUGGAAAACAUGGACCAAAAGUAAGUUUUUUUUUUACUGAUGUUUUCUAAUUCCAUAUUUAUUUAUUGUAUAAAAUACGUUAGAUAAUCACUUAACAGAGUUAUUCACCUAUGACUUACUGGUGAUAGAAUGGGAUAAAAGGUAUGCUCUGUCACACUAUCAUAGGAGUAAGUGCCUGUUAUUUUUGUCCCCUGUAGGGAGAGCCUGGAGUUAAAGGGAAUCCAGGCGGCCCUGGGAAGAUUGGAUCAAUUGUAGGUUUUUACCUUUGAAGAUGCAUGGUGGAAAAUGAUUGCCUGGUCUAACUGACCUGAAUUUUUUAUGUUGUUUACAGGGUGUUUCAGGUCCAAGUGGGAAGAAAGGAGAGCCUGGAACAAGAGGCAAAAAGGGGCCAAUGGGUCAGGCAGGAUCUAUGGGUCCUCGUGGACUAAAGGGAAAACCAGGAUCUUCAGGACCUCCAGGGGAAAAAGGAUUCCAGGGUCAACCAGGGCCAAAGGGAAUGAGCGGUUCUCUUGGAAGGAGAGGAAGUAAAGGUGUUGCAGGAAAGCCAGUGGGUUCAUGCAUUUUUUUUUUUGACUUACUAACUUGA
ensembl:lncRNA